rnacentral:rRNA from 1 species
UYCCCUUUGGGGCWGGUKSACAGGUGGUGCAUGGUUGUCGUCAGCUCGUGUCGUGAGAUGUUGGGUUAAGUCCCGCAACGAGCGCAACCCUCGUUCYAUGUUGCCAGCACGURRUGGUGGGGACUCAURGGAGACUGCCGGGGUCAACUCGGAGGAAGGUGGGGAYGACGUCAAAUCAUCAUGCCCCUUAUGUCUUGGGCUUCACGCAUKCUACAAUGGCCGGUACAAWGGGUUGCGAUACUGUGAGGUGGAGCUAAUCCMAAAAAGCCGGUCUCAGUUCGGAUUGRGGUCUGCAACUCGACCYCAUGAA